UGUGACACCCGUUGCGUUUCCGUGCCUCCGCCCUUUCCCUCUUUAUGGGCUCAUGUACAGUAUAAUCAAUUUUAUGUAAAAAUUCAACUGAUAAAAAGCCACCAAAUGACAUAAAGUUCUCCUUUGGGAUUUACAACUUUGGCCGCUGUCAAGCGUCCAAAUGGCGACAAAUAACAACAAAGACACAUGGUGCGAAACAUGGAGAAAGAGCGAGUUACAGUAUGGAAGCAACGCUGAAAACUGCAAAGGGUGUCAUGAAAAUCUGAGGACGACGACUUUGGGCAAAAGAGAGCAAAUGGAUGAUGCGGAAGUCACAUCUUGACACAACAACCUGACACAAGCAAAGUCAAAAUGAUGCAGAGAGGACAAAAGAAACCGUUGAAAAAAAGGAGGGAUGAACACAGCAUGGGGACAUUGUUGACGGUCGACACCCUGGGGACGUCUUGAUAUGUAACGCACAGACCACGAGCUCAUCGUCACAUUGUUCUUCCAGUGGGCUCUUCUUGUAUGAGCCGGCGCUUCCACACGUGGGUCUAAUGACUGACCGCCGACCGUCUGAUGGGAAAGUCGGGAAGUCGUGAGAGAUGAGUGCUCCAGAACAAAUCACAGCUUGGCUUCAGCUCCGAUUUGUGAGUCGCAAUGAAACACUUUACGAGCGCCUUCAUUCCACAAGUUAAAAUGAUUCAUCUGCGCGGUCUACAUUAAACAGGUUGUAAUGGUUGAGUCAUUGAUUUAAAUGUGACUCCUGCUGCUCUGUUCCAUCUUGACAGCGGACGGAAUGUCUUCCUUUGGUCUCCACAAUUCUCCAAAAUAGCUUUUAUUUCAUGUUCCCAAUUCACUGGUUGUACAGCACAUAUUUAAUAUUUAGAAAGUACAAAUGAAUGCACCGGUACCUGGACUUACAAGUUUUUUUUUUUAGAUUAGAGCCGUCGCUUGGAUGAUUUAUUUAUUUUUCCCCCCCCUUGAGUUAGAGGUAACAAUGAUAGCCGUAAUUAUGAUUCAGUCAGUGUUUCUUCAGUGUGCUAUCAUAACAACAUUCCCUCUUAUCUCACUCGUGCAAUGUGCAGAUAAGGUGAACUGUUCUGGCAGGAACAGCAAAGUCUUCUUCUUUUUUUGCCUGGCUGCAAGCUAUUAUGCCUGUGCCUAAAAGAGUUUUUUUUUUUUUUUAGCAACUUG